UACGAAGGGGGCUAGCGUUGCUCGGAAUCACUGGGCGUAAAGCGCACGUAGGCGGACUUUUAAGUCGGAGGUGAAAUCCUGGAGCUCAACUCCAGAACUGCCUUUGAUACUGGCGAUCUCGAGUCCGGGAGAGGUGAGUGGAACUGCGAGUGUAGAGGUGAAAUUCGUAGAUAUUCGCAAGAACACCAGUGGCGAAGGCGGCUCACUGGCCCGGUACUGACGCUGAGGUGCGAAAGCGUGGGGAGCAAACAGG
rnacentral:rRNA from 1 species